GAUGAAGAACGCAGUGAAAUGCGAUAAGUAAUGUGAAUUGCAGAAUUCAGUGAAUCAUCGAAUCUUUGAACGCACAUUGCGCCCGCCAGUAGUCUGGCGGGCAUGCCUGUCCGAGCGUCAUUUCAACCAUCAAGCCCCGGGCUUGUGUUGGGGACCUGCGUCCGACGCAGGCCCUGAAAACCAGUGGCGGGCUCGCUGUCCACACCGAGCGUAGUAACUAACCUCGCUAUGGAGUGGCGCGGGCGCCUGCCGUAAAACCCCCAAUUUUUACAAGGUUGACCUCGGAUCAGGUAGGAAUACCCGCUGAACUUAAGCAUAUCAAUAAGCGGAGGA
rnacentral:misc_RNA from 1 species